CGGACGGGUGAGGUAACGCGUGGGCAACCUGCCCUGUACCGGGGGAUAACAACUUAGAAAUAAGGUGCUAAUACCGCAUAAGCGCACAGCUUCGCAUGAAGCAGUGUGAAAAACUCCGGUGGUACAGGAUGGACCCGCGUCUGAUUAGCUAGUUGGUGGGGUAGAGGCCCACCAAGGCGACGAUCAGUAGCCGGCCUGAGAGGGUGACCGGCCACAUUGGGACUGAGACACGGCCCAAACUCCUACGGGAGGCAGCAGUGGGGAAUAUUGCACAAUGGGGGGAAACCCUGAUUGCAGCGACGCCGCGUGAGUGAAGAAGUAUUUCGGUACGUAAAGCUCUAUCAGCAGGGAAGAAAAUGACGGUACCUGACUAAGAAGCCCCGGCUAACUACGUGCCAGCCGCCGC
rnacentral:rRNA from 1 species